AUUUGUUUUCCUUUUAUUUCUACAUAUGUAGGAAUGUUACUGAGAAUGGAUCCAAGACUAUGAGAUCAGUGCCGGUGAGAUAGCUCAUUGGGUAACUGUGCUUGGUGCUCAAACCUGACAGUCUGAAACCCGCCCCAGAAACCCACAGGAAGAUGGAGAGAAGAGAACAACUGUACAGCGCUUUCCUCUGACUUCUGCAUGUGAAUGGUGCUACACACCCACAUAACAUGUAAAUACACUCAACAAUAAUAACUAGAAUUUAAUAAGAGUCCAGACCACAGCAGUAUCAUGAAGUUUGAUUGUACUGAAAAGACUCAGUAGUGGAGCUCCAGUGGAAAUGUCACUACCUUUAAUACUGGAAUGACUCCCAUGGGACAGUGUGUUAUCAGGUGGCCAUACCCAUGGUGCUGGGGUAAAAAGAAUGUUGUCUGUUGCAGCAAGGGUCAGAGUAG
rnacentral:lncRNA from 1 species